AGUCACUGACAUUAGAUACCCGUGUAGUCCAGGGUGUAAACGCUGCAGACUUGGUGUUGGGGCCCUUUGGGGGCAUUCAGUGCCGGAGAGAAGUUGUUAAGUCUGCUACUUGGGAGUACGUCCGCAAGGAUGAAACUUAAAGGAAUUGGCGGGGGAGCACCGCAACGGGAGGAGCGUGCGGUUUAAUUGGAUUCAACACCGUAAAACUCACCAGGGAAGACUGUUACAUGAAGGCCGAGAUGAAGACUCUGCUAGAUUUUCAG
rnacentral:rRNA from 1 species